rnacentral:rRNA from 1 species
CUUGGCGACCAUAGCGUUGCGGACCCACCUGAUCCCAUGCCGAACUCAGAAGUGAAACGCAGUAGCGCCGAUGGUAGUGUGGGGUCUCCCCAUGUGAGAGUAGGACAUCGCCAGGC